rnacentral:rRNA from 1 species
GGGAAUCUUACCGGGAUCCGGACACACUGAGGAUUGACAGACAGUUGUCUUUCCCUCCCUUCGGGGUGGGAUUACAAAAGAUAACAGAUCUUUCAUGAUCAUGUGAUGGGUGGUGCAUGGCCGUUCUUAGUUCGUGGAGUGAUCUGUCUGCUUAAUUGCGUUUCAAAUUUUAUAUUUGUUAACAUGCGAGUCUUCAAUGACGGCCACUCCACCUUAUAGACAUUAUAUGAUAUGCACAUUUGUGUAUUUGAUUAUAACUUGUCUGGAGUCUGGCUCGAUUUUUUUGACUCAAUUGAACGCAACGGACGUGAUUGCAAGUCCUUGUUGAACAAAUUAUAUAUAUACUACUUCAUCAUUAGUAUAUAUAGUUCGCUUCUCAUGUCGUAGCAGUCAAACGGGCGGGCGUCUUAAUUGGCGCGGUCACGAGGCUUAAUAUGCUGCGGCUGGGGAAAACUUGGGCGACCGCUGUAAUACUUCUCUCUUAAACCAGAGGAAGAUUGCGGCAAUAACAGGUCUGUGAUGC